GUUACAUAUGGGAGGAUUAGAGCUGCAUAUUUCAUAUUCAAGCUUAUGUUGUUGUCAUACAUGCAGAUCAAUUCUUCUAUGUUUGAGUGCAUGGCGAUUGGAUCUGAAAAUUUGAGAUUUUCAUUCAUUUAUUUCAUGGCUUUCGCUCAAAGAGGACUGCAUGCAUAAGAGCAUCUGAUGAUUUUUGGCUAAGAGUCCCAGCUCAAAGAGGACUGCUGUUAUUGGAAAUUAGGGUUUGGAGAAGCUAUCUUGAAGAAAUUCUAGGCCAUUGACUCACAAGUGUAGCUGGGUCACAUGCAUUUCACUCAACUCGAAGAAGCUAAAACCGUCUACAUGACAGCUCCCACGCGGGCCUCGUUCCUAACAUCACAGUGCACCCCACCUGAUGAAUGGACUAACCCUUGCCUAAUUGGUAAUCUGGACCUAAUUUGCUGAAUGCUUGCUUGAAUUACAGAAUCACAUCGCCAUUGGAAAGUUAACUUGAUAAGCUAAAACUGAUUUAUUUAUUUAUUUAUUUAUUUUUUAUAGCUUGAGUGAUGUUUAACCUUUGAACUAUAGCCAUGCUCUUUGUUGACAAAAAAUGGAUAACCACCUUGAUUAUUGUCAGCAACAAGCCUUUUGAGGCAAAUAUCUGUAGAAUGAUAAAACCAUGAAGUCAUCGACUUGGGUUUCAUCUUGGACCCCUAACAUUGUUUCACGAGAACCCUUGGCCAAGCCUGCAUCACAGGUGAGUGAUGUAUCCGUCAAAUUCACUUAAAAUUUGCUUCUAGGAAUAGAUUCACAUAGAGAAGCCUCCAUUAAGUUGUGUUUAUAGGUUUUAGGUUUUCCAGAAGACAAAAUC